rnacentral:rRNA from 1 species
AUUGAACGCUGGCGGAAUGCUUUACACAUGCAAGUCGAACGAUAAAGCCUAGCUUGCUAGGUCGAUUAGUGGCGAACGGGUGAGUAAUAUAUCGGAACGUAUCCAAUAAUGGGGGAUAACUAGUAGAAAGAUUGGCUAAUACCGCAUACGUCAUAUGGGAGAAAGCUGGGGAUAGUAAGACCUGGCGAUAAUGGAGCGGCCGAUAUCUGAUUAGCUAGUUGUGGAGUUAAAGGCUCACCAAGGAGACGAUAAGUAGCUGGUCUGAGAGGACGACCAGCCACACUGGAACUGAGACACGGUCCAGACUCCUACGGGAGGCAGCAGUGGGGAAUUUUGGACAAUGGGCGAAAGCCUGAUCCAGCCAUUCCGCGUGAGUGAAGAAGGCCUUCGGGUUGUAAAGCUCUUUCGCAAGGGAAGAACACUUACUUAAUAACACUAAGUGAGGUUGACGGUACCUUGAUAAGAAGCACCGGCUAACUACGUGCCAGCCGCCGCCGUAA